GGUUGACCUCGGAUCAGGUAGGGAUACCCGCUGAACUUAAGCAUAUCAAUAAGCGGAGGAAAAGAAACCAACAGGGAUUGCCUCAGUAACGGCGAGUGAAGCGGCAACAGCUCAAAUUUGAAAUCUGGCCCUUGCAGGGUCCGAGUUGUAAUUUGUAGAGGAUGCUUCGGGUUCGGCUCCGGUCUAAGUUCCUUGGAACAGGACGUCRCAGAGGGUGAGAAUCCCGUACGUGACCGGCCGCCACGCCCGUGUGAAGCUCCUUCGACGAGUCGAGUUGUUUGGGAAUGCAGCUCAAAAUGGGUGGUAAAUUUCAUCUAAAGCUAAAUACUGGCCAGAGACCGAUAGCGCACAAGUAGAGUGAUCGAAAGAUGAAAAGCACUUUGGAAAGAGAGUUAAAAAGUACGUGAAAUUGUUGAAAGGGAAGCGCUUGCAACCAGACUUGCCCGCGGGUGAUCAGCCGGUAUUCUUACCGGUGCACUCGCCCGCGGUCAGGCCAGCAUCGGUUBGGGCGGUUGGACAAAGGCCUCCGGAAUGUAGCUCCUCUCGGGGAGUGUUAUAGCCGGGGGUGCAAUGCAGCCAGCCCGGACCGAGGACCGCGCU
rnacentral:sRNA from 1 species